UACCUGGCGGCAUGCCUUACCAUGCAAGUCGAACGGUAGAAGGAGCAAUCCUUCGAGAGUGGCGAACGGGUGAGUAAUAUAUCGGAACGUGCCCAGUCGUGGGGGAUAACGUAGAGAAAUUUACGCUAAUACCGCAUACGAUCUAAGGAUGAAAGCGGGGGACUUCGCAAGAGGCCUCGCGCGACUGGAGCGGCUGAUAUCAGAUUAGGUUGUUGGUGAGGUAAAAGCUCACCAAGCCGACGAUCUGUAGCUGGUUUGAGAGAACGACCAGCCACACUGGGACUGAGACACGGCCCAGACUCCUACGGGAGGCAGCAGUGGGGAAUUUUGGACAAUGGGCGAAAGCCUGAUCCAGCAAUGCCGCGUGCAGGAAGAAGGCCUUCGGGUUGUAAACUGCUUUUGUACGGAACGAAAAGGUUCGCUUUAAUACAGUGGGCCCAUGACGGUACCGUAAGAAUAAGCACCGGCUAACUACGUGCCAGCAGCCGCGGUAAU
rnacentral:rRNA from 1 species